rnacentral:rRNA from 1 species
GAUGAACGCUGGCGGCGUGCCUAAUACAUGCAAGUCGAGCGAACAGAUCAGGAGCUUGCUCCUCUGACGUUAGCGGCGGACGGGUGAGUAACACGUGGAUAACCUACCUAUCAGACUGGGAUAACUUCGGGAAACCGGAGCUAAUACCGGAUAAUAUAUUGAACCGCAUUGUUCACUCGUGAAAGACGGUUUUGCUGUCACUUAUAGAUGGAUCCGCGCCGCAUUAGCUAGUUGGUAAGGUAACGGCUUACCAAGGCAACGAUGCGUAGCCGACCUGAGAGGGUGGUCGGCCACACUGGAACUGAGACACGGUCCAGACUCCGACGGGAGGCAGCAGUAGGGAAUCUUCCGCAAUGGGCGAGAGCCUGACGGAGCAACGCCGCGUGAGUGAUGAAGGUCUUCGGAUCGUAAAACUCUGUUAGUAGGGGAGAACAAAUGUGUAAGUAACUAUGCACGUCUUGACGGUACCUGAUCAGAAAGCCACGGCUAACUACGUG